AAGUGUUUUUUAGUGAUGUUCAGUGACUGACAGGUGGGUAGACCCACCCACCUGUCAAUCACUGAACAUCACUAAAAACACU